rnacentral:rRNA from 1 species
GUGAGUCACACGUGAGUAACCUGCCCCUGACUCUGGAAUAACCGUGGGAAACGACGGCUAAUACCGGAUAUGAGACGUCCACGCAUGUGAGCGUCUGGAAAGAUUUAUCGGUCUGGGAUGGACUCGCGGCCUAUCAGCUUGUUGGUGGGGUAAUGGCCCACCAAGGCGACGACGGGUAGCCGGCCUGAGAGGGCGACCGGCCACACUGGGACUGAGAUACGGCCCAGACUCCUACGGGAGGCAGCAGUGGGGAAUAUUGCACAAUGGGCGCAAGCUGAUGCAGCGACGCCGCGUGGGGGAUGAAGGCCUUCGGGUUGUAAACCCUUUCAGCAGGGAAGAAGCGAAAGUGACGGUACCUGCAGAAGAAGCGCCGGCUAACUACGUGCCAGCAGCCGCGGUAAUACGUAGGGCGCAAGCGUUGUCCGGAAUUAUUGGGCGUAAAGAGCUCGUAGGCGGUUUGUCGCGUCUGCUGUGAAAACCCGAGGCUCAACCUCGGGCUUGCAGUGGGUACGGGCAGACUAGAGUGCGGUAGGGGUGACUGGAAUUCCUGGUGUAGCGGUGGAAUGCGCAGAUAUCAGGAGGAACACCGAUGGCGAAGGCAGGUCACUGGGCCGCAACUGACGCUGAGGAGCGAAAGCAUGGGGAGCGAACAGGAUUAGAUACCCUGGUAGUCCAUGCCGUAAACGUUGGGCACUAGGUGUGGGGCUCAUUCCACGAGUUCCGUGCCGCAGCAAACGCAUUAAGUGCCCCGCCUGGGGAGUACGGCCGCAAGGCUAAAACUCAAAGGAAUUGACGGGGGCCCGCACAAGCGGCGGAGCAUGCGGAUUAAUUCGAUGCAACGCGAAGAACCUUACCAAGGCUUGACAUACACCGGAAAAGUGCAGAGAUGUGCUCCCCGCAAGGUCGGUGUACAGGUGGUGCAUGGUUGUCGUCAGCUCGUGUCGUGAGAUGUUGGGUUAAGUCCCGCAACGAGCGCAACCCUCGUCCUAUGUUGCCAGCACGUUAUGGUGGGGACUCAUAGGAGACUGCCGGGGUCAACUCGGAGGAAGGUGGGGAUGACGUCAAAUCAUCAUGCCCCUUAUGUCUUGGGCUUCACGCAUGCUACAAUGGCCGGUACAAAGGGCUGCGAUACCGCAAGGUGGAGCGAAUCCCAAAAAGCCGGUCUCAGUUCGGAUUGGGGUCUGCAACUCGACCCCAUGAAGUCGGAGUCGCUAGUAAUCGCAGAUCAGCAACGCUGCGGUGAAUACGUUCCCGGGCCUUGUACACACCGC